CCUACGGGAGGCAGCAGUGAGGAAUAUUGGUCAAUGGACGAGAGUCUGAACCAGCCAAGUAGCGUGAAGGAUGACUGCCCUAUGGGUUGUAAACUUCUUUUAUCUGGGAAUAAAAUGUUCCACGUGUGGGAUUUUGUAUGUACCAUAUGAAUAAGGAUCGGCUAACUCCGUGCCAGCAGCCGCGGUAAUACGGAGGAUCCGAGCGUUAUCCGGAUUUAUUGGGGUUAAAGGGAGCGUAGGUGGAUAGUUAAGUUAGUGGUGAAAGUUUGCGGCUCAAGCGUCAAAGUGCAGUUGAAACUGGCAGUCUUGAGUACAGUAGAGGUAUGCGGAAUUCGUGGUGUAGCGGUGAAAUGCUUAGAUAUCACGAAGAACUCCGAUUGCGAAGGCAGUAUACUGGCCUGCAACUGACACUGAGGCUCGAAAGUGUGGGUAUCAAACAGGAUUAGAUACCCCGGUAGUC
rnacentral:rRNA from 1 species